UUGGCUGACCCCGAGGAACAUAAAAUUGCUACAUGGCUUUCUGGGUUUAACAGGCUACUACUGCAAGUUCGUGAAAAACUAUGGAGAGAUCAGUGCACCACUUACUUCUUUUUUGAAAAAAGUUGUCUUCCAAUUGUAAUAUCCCCCACUUUUAAAAAUGUAUUAAUAAGGAUUUAUAUGUAAAUUGGGGGACCUAUAUGUAAAUAUAGAAAUUACAAGGACUAAACUGCUAAGUUGCAAAAAGAAAAAAAAAAAAAAAAAAAAAAACCGAAAAUUCGGUAUUAUCCCACCGCCUCCCACGCACUCUGUUUCUUUCCAGAAACAGAGAGAGCGGUGGGGCGUGAGGAGAAGAAGGAGAGUGGUUGAAGAAAAGAAGAAGAAGAGGGAAAAGAAGAGAGGAGGAAGAAGAGAGGAAGAAGAGAGGAAGAAGAGGGAGAAGAGAAGAAGAUGAAGAAGAAGAAGAAGAGGAGGUGGCUGCAGCGAGGGCUGCAGCGAGAAGCUGUGGGGCGUGGGGAGAAGAAGAGAGGAAGAAGAGGGAGAAGAGAAGAAGAAGAAGAAGAGAGGAUGAUAGCUGCGGCAAGGCUGCAGCGAGGAGGUGUGUGGGGUUGGGGAGGAAAAGGGAAGAGGAGAAGAAAAGAAGGAGAAGAAGAGGGAAAAGAGAGGAAAGAGGGAGAGGAGCGAGAGGUGGCAGCAGCUAGGGCUGCAGCACCUCUGUUUCCUGCAGGUGAAAACAGAGGAGAGGUGGGGCGUUCGAAGAGGAGAAGAAGAAGAAGAAGGAAGAGAAGAGGAAGAGGAAGCAGGAGAAGAGGUUGUGAUACCUCUGUUUCCUGCAGAGGAAACAAAGGAGAGGGUGUGUGUGACGUCGGGGAGAAGAAGGGGAGGAAGAAGAAGAAGAGAAGAAGAAGAAAGGAAGGAGAGGAAGAAGAGAAGGGAAAGGAGGAGCUGCGGCUGCGGCGGUGGCAGCUGCAGCUGGAAGAGAAGGAGAGGAAGAGAUGGUGAGGAAGAAGAGAAGAAGUAGAAGCGGGUGAAGAGGCGGCACCUCUGUUUCCUGUAGGAGGAAACAGAGGAAAGGAGGUGUUGUUCGUCGGGGAGAAGAAGGGGGCUGCAGCUGCAGCGAUGGCAGCUGCAGCUGGAAGAGAAGAAGAAGAGGAAGAUGAGCAGGGGAGGAGGGAGAGGUUGCGGCCGUGGCUGCGGCCGCGACUGCAGCAGUUGCAGCGGGGAGAGAAGAAGAAGAAAGGAAGGAGAAGGAAGAGGAGAAGGGAAAGAAGUAGCUGCGGCUGCGGUUGUGGCAGCUGCAGCUGUGGCAGGGAAAGAGGAAGAGAAAAAGGAAAGGAAGAAGAAGAGAAAGGGAAGGAGAGGAAGAAGAGAGGAAGAGGAGAAGGGGCUGCGGCUGCGGCGAUGGCAGCUGCAGCUGUGGCUGGGAAAGAAGAGAAGGAAAGGAAGAAGAAGAGAAAGGGAAGGAGAGGAAGAAGAGAGGAAGAGGAGAAGGGGUGGCAGCUGCGGCAGUGGCAGCUGCAGCUGGAAGAGGAGGAGGAAAUAGAGCAGGGGAGGAAGAAGAGGCUGCGAGUGUGGUGGCUGCGGCCGUGGCUGCGACUCCGGCUGCGGCUGCGACGUUGGCUGCGGUAGCUGCGGCAGCGGUGGUGGCUGCAGUAGCUGCAGUAGCUGCUUUUGGGAAAGAGAAAGAGUAGGAACGAGAGAAGGGAAGAAGGAAAUAGUGCAGUGGAAGGGGGCUGCGGUUGUGACCGCAGUUGCUAUUGUGGCAGCGGCAGCGGCGGCGGCUGUGGCAGCUGCGUUUGGGAAAGAAAAAGAAGGAAUGAGAGAAAGAGAGAGAGCAGGUGACUGUGCCUCGAUGUUCGACACGUGAUGUAGUUACGAAGAAAGGAAGAAAACAGGAGCACAAAACGAAACAGAGAGAGGACACGGAGGAAAAGUAGAAAGAUUGGACUGGCACCUUCCUUGGAUAUUCAGAUCAAAAUAUUUGAAAGGCAAGUUCCCUGAUCGUUUCUCCUAUAAUUACUCUGAUAUUUCUUAUUUCAAGUUCCCUGAUCGUUUCUCCUAUAAUUGCUCUAACUUUUCUUAUUGCAAGUUUCCUGAUCGUUCCGCCUGUAAUUGUUCUAAUCUUUCCUAUUGCAAGUAUCCUGAUCGUUCCUCACUGCAAUUUUAUCUCUACAUUUGCUUUGAAUAUGAGGAACUUUGAAUUGUUCUAGCCUUGCAUUUGAUAUAUCUCCUGUUUAGACGUAACGAUUCGAAUCUAUGCAACUUCUGAUAUUCUGACCUUUUGAUACCGAGCUGCCUAUAAGUCUUUGUUGGAAACUCUGAUUUGUUCAAAACUGAUUUCAUUGGAAAAUAGACUCGUAGACCUUUCUUUGAUAUAUGGAUUGAAAGAUUUGGAAUCCAAACACUUGUCCAGCUAUCUGUUGAAUCUGACAUUAGGAAUUCUGCCAACAGAGAUUUUGUUCUACGACACUUGCUUACCAAAUUAUUUGUAACUCUCUCUGUUGGACAGUUCAAUUCAUAUGAAGCAUGUCUUAUAUGAAAGUAUUAUCCAAUGAUUAUUUCUGAGUAAAUUGGAGCACGUUUGAUAGUUUGAAUCAUUUGUUCAAUGUGCCUUCUGUAUUCUGCCAGAAAUCGAGCUUUGGUCGAUUUCUCAUAUUCUGGUUUCAUUCCUUUGGAAAUUGAUAUCCUUUAGCUUUCUUAUUCAAUUGAGCUUUAUAUUACUGCUUUGAAUUCUUGUAUGUUCUUGUCCUUAAAGUUAUUGCAUUCUUGAAAACUGUUGUGUAACGUUUAUGCUAUAUCGUAUUGACUCAUAUAGGCACAUGUAUAUCCUAUUGUUCCGCAUUUGCUUUCGAUAUGUGCCUAUUCCAGUUUCAUUCAUUUGGACAUUGAAUUCAUCAAAUCUUCUUAUUGAAUUGAGUUAUAUGUGAUUGCUUGGAUUCCAUAUGUGCCCUUGCUUUCAAUUCCUUUCAAAUCUGAAUAUGCUUGUGAAAUAUUAUUGCUUACUUCGGAUUGACUCGUAAAGGCACAUGUACGCUUCGUUGUUCCGCGUGUGCUUCCGACAUAUGCUACUUGUUGUUGAAACUGCCCUUUUGUACUCUGGUGUGUGGGAUUGUCUGGACCUUUGCCAGAAAUGGUAAAGGGUAUGCGCUAUUUGCCCGCUAUGUGGGGUCCCGCUUUGAGGGAUAUUCUGUUUGCGCUUGUUGCCCGCUACGUGGGUAUGUGAUUAGAGCCUGCGAUGCUCUGCCGGCCCCCUUUGACUUCACCUAGACGUGGGUGGAUGGAGCUCCCAGACGUGGGAGACUUUUGUCAGGUGGUCAUUCAGAAAUGGAUGAAUCACAUUCUGACUGAGAUCCCACUACACCCUCUAUGUGUUUGAUAUGACAUCCAGAGUUUUGGUGAGUUUGUUUCUGUUCAUACUCUGGAUAAGAUUGAUAUGAUUGCAACGUCAAGGACGACGUUUGAGCUCUUGUACGAUAUGUGUACCGAUAUGCUCUGAAAGGCUUCAUUCCCUGAUGAUUUUGUUUCGAAAUGUUCCAUAUGCCGUUGAUAUGCUUCGGAACAUUUUAUAUGCCAUUGAUAAGCUUGGUAUGUUUCCUUUGCUUCUGAUAUGCUCCAAUUACGCUGUGCUCCAUUUGCUAUGAACUGAUAUGUUCUUAUAUGUCCUAUUUGCCAUUGAUAUGCUCCAAUUACUCUGUGCUCCAUUUGCUAUGAACUGAUAUGUUCUGAAAUGUCCUAUCUACCAUUGAUAUGCUCCAAAUUACUCUGUGCUCCAUUUGCUAUGAGCUGAUUUGUUCUGAAAUGUCCUAUCUGCCAUUGAUAUGUUCCAAUUACUCUAUGCUCCAUUCGUUAUGGAUCAAAUAUGUUAUGAAUGACAUGAUACGUAUGAUUUGGUAUCUAUUGAGAUGGUAUCCUUGAGAAUUCUGGUAUUCUGCCUUGCAUUAUGAUACCUUACUCGUUUCAAACCGUUCCUUUUGUUCUGAAUAUGCUUUGUCACUUGCUGAGCCGUUUUUGGCUCACUCUGUUGUUAUAUAAACCUUUCAGGUCAGCUUGUCACUCUUCGAGAUGUUUGAUUUGGGUUGAGGCAGUGGAUAGCUAUUCAGAAUUAUGGGCAAGUCCUGUUGGUUGUUAUUCUAUUGUUGUAUAAGCAUAUUUUGUAUGUAAUGAAUUGUUCUGAUGAUCGAAAUGGAUAUACUGUGUAAAAGUGUUAGAAGAUCUCUCUUAUUUGGAAUUUCGGAAUGUUAAGUCUAAUUUAUGACGAUAUGAACUUGUGGUGAAUAGUUGGAGUUCUGAUUGUAUAAUUUAUUUAGCUUGUGGAUUUAUAAAUGUUGUUCAUGUUUGUCAAGUUGGCUUGGGUUGCCAUAAAUGUGAAUUAUCGAGUGAUGUGAUAUAUGAUUAUAAACUGCACAGGUUUUAUGGAUGUGAAUAUGAAUAGAAUGUUUUCAGUGUCCUCAAACGUUAGUUUGGAUCCUGGAUUGGUCUGUGACGAAAAUUUUAAAAAUCAUAGAUAUUUUGAGGGGCGUGACAAGAGGUGGUAUCAUAGCAUUGUUUGAGGAUUACUGAAAUAUUUGAUAUGUUGACGUGCAAAAUAUAUUGAGGUCUAAUGAACUAUAGUGAUUGGUGGAAAUUUUCUUUGCUGCAUUUUAGGAAUUUGGGAUGAUGAGGACAUUUGGUCCUCCUAUAUCAUUUGUUUCUGAUUAAUUAAGGGGAAUGAAAGGAUUGAUUGGGGAUAUUGAAUCAGAGUGGCGCAGCAGAAGCAUGAUGAACCUAAUUUCAUUGGUGGUAGAAAAAUGGAUGAUGCAAAUGGAGAAGAUAUUUGAUAUACAAAAUUGUUCUGAUACUCGAAAGAUUUCUUUUGCCACGUUAUAUUGGAAGUAAAGACUUAUUAUUGACGGCAACAAUGAAAAGAAUUUUUGAAGAUCAAUGGCAAGAAUGACAAGAACAAGUUUACCAAUAAAAAUAUGAUUGGAAAUGAAUCAGUAAGUAACAACAAGAGAGUCAAGACAUUUGGAUUUGAAAUGGUAAGUCACCACAAAAGACUCAAUCAGGUGUGAAUUGCAAGUUAAAUUAUGAAACAAGUUUAUGUUUAUGCGUGACUAGAGCCUAUUUUGCUUAUGGAAAGUUUGAUCAUAAAAUAAAAGUUUGCCCUUUGAACAAGAAGAAAGAGUCACUGCCUCCUAAAUCAUCAGCCCAUGUCAGAGUGUAUGCUAUCACUGAAUAUGAUUUUAAGACUUCUGAAUUAGUGGUCGAAGGUAUUAUGUAUGUUUAUGAAAGAAUGUAAAUAUUUGUUUGAACAUGGGUUCUAUCUACGAUUUGAUUCGUAACAUAUUGCCUAUCACUUGGGUAUUCAACCUAGACCACUGUAUUAUGUGAUAUAUGUAAGUACAAUCAUUAGAGAUUCUUUGAUAACGAACUUGAAUCUGGUCCUCUUGUCUGAUUUUUGUUGGAGAACUUGAACUUUUGCUGAUUUAGUUCUCCUAGAGAUUUGGAGUUAUGAUAUUAUACUUGGUAUGCAUUGGCUAUCUUCUUAUCAUACCAGUAUAGAUUGGUAUAUAACAAAUGAUCACUUUUUGCAUAUUUGAUCAGCCGAUCUUUUAUUUUGAGAGUAUUGGACAUUAUUUAUCUCCUUGCCUAAUGUAUCCCAGGAUGACUUGCCUGGAUUACCUCCAAAUGUGAUUUUGCUUUUGAUUUGGUCCUUGGGACAAUCCCUAUAUCUAAGCCUCUCUGCAGAAUGAUAUCAUUUGAGUAAGUGGAAUUAGAAAAACAACUACAAGGAUUAUUAAAUGAGGAUUUUAUUUGGCUUAAUAUUUUAUCAUGGGGUGCUCUGGUGUUAGUUAAAAAGAUGGAUGGAACAUGGAGGCUUUGUAUUGAUUAUGGAUAAUUGAAUCAGGUGAUCAUCAAAAACGAGUAUUUUCUGAAGUAACGAUUUGCUUGAUUAAUUACAGGUGCGCAAGUAUUUUUGAAAGAUUGAUUGAAGGUCGGGUUUACCAUCUAUUGAGAAUCAAGAAGGAGAAUAUUUUGGUCACUCUUGGAAAAUUGUGUAAUUGUAUUGAAUUGAUGAAAUUAUUUAAGAGUAGGAGGAGGAAAUAAAGAAAUCAUAAUCCUCAUCUUUUCAUCGAUUGAGCUAUGACCAAUUUAGAGGACUAAAUUUUCUUUUAAGGGGAGGAGAGUGUAAUAUCCCCCACUUUUAAAAAUGUAUUAAUAAGGAUUUAUAUGUAAAUUGGGGGACCUAUAUGUAAAUAUAGAAAUUACAAGGACUAAACUGCUAAGUUGCAAAAAGAAAAAAAAAAAAGAAAAGGAAAAACCGAAAAUUCGGUAUUAUCCCACCGCCUCCCACGCACUCUGUUUCUUUCCAGAAACAGAGAGAGCGGUGGGGCAUGAGGAGAAGAAGGAGAGUGGUUGAAGAAAAGAAGAAGAAGAGGGAAAAGAAGAGAGGAGGAAGAAGAGAGGAAGAAGAGAGGAAGAAGAGGGAGAAGAGAAGAAGAUGAAGAAGAAGAAGAAGAGGAGGUGGCUGCAGCGAGAAGCUGUGGGGCGUGGGGAGAAGAAGAGAGGAAGAAGAGGGAGAAGAGAAGAAGAAGAAGAAGAGAGGAUGAUAGCUGCGGCAAGGCUGCAGCGAGGAGGUGUGUGGGGUUGGGGAGGAAAAGGGAAGAGGAGAAGAAAAGAAGGAGAAGAAGAGGGAAAAGAGAGGGAAGAGGGAGAGGAGUGAGAGGUGGCAGCAGCUAGGGCUGCAGCACCUCUGUUUCCUGCAGGUGGAAACAGAGGAGAGGUGGGGCGUUCGAAGAGGAGAAGAAGAAGAAGAAGGAAGAGAAGAGGAAGAGGAAGCAGGAGAAGAGGUUGUGAUACCUCUGUUUCCUGCAGAGGAAACAGAGGAGAGGGUGUGUGUGACGUCGGGGAGAAGAAGGGGAGGAAGAAGAAGAAGAGAAGAAGAAGAAAGGAAGGAGAGGAAGAAGAGAAGGGAAAGGAGGAGCUGCGGCUGCGGCGGUGGCAGCUGCAGCUGGAAGAGAAGGAGAGGAAGAGAUGGUGAGGAAGAAGAGAAGAAGUAGAAGCCGGUGAAGAGGCGGCACCUCUGUUUCCUGCAGGAGGAAACAGAGGAAAGGAGGUGCUGUUCGUCGGGGAGAAGAAGGGGGCUGAAGCUGCGGCGAUGGCAGCUGCAGCUGGAAGAGAAGAAGAAGAGGAAGAUGAGCAGGGGAGGAGGGAGAGGUUGCGGCCGUGGCUGCGGCCGCGACUGCAGCAGUUGCAGCGGGGAGAGAAGAAGAAGAAAGGAAGGAGAAGGAAGAGGAGAAGGGAAAGAAGUAGCUGCGGCUGCGGUUGUGGCAGCUGCAGCUGUGGCAGGGAAAGAGGAAGAGAAAAAGGAAAGGAAGAAGAAGAGAAAGGGAAGGAGAGGAAGAAGAGAGGAAGAGGAGAAGGGGAUGCGGCUGCGGCGAUGGCAGCUGCAGCUGUGGCUGGGAAAGAAGAGAAGGAAAGGAAGAAGACGAGAAAGGGAAGGAGAGGAAGAAGAGAGGAAGAGGAGAAGGGGUGGCAGCUGCGGCAGUGGCAGCUGCAGCUGGAAGAGGAGGAGGAAAUAGAGCAGGGGAGGAAGAAGAGGCUGCGAGUGUGGUGGCUGCGGCCGUGGCUGCGACUCCGGCUGCGGUUGCGACGUUGGCUGCGGUAGCUGCGGCAGCGGUGGUGGCUGCAGUAGCUGCAGUAGCUGCUUUUGGGAAAGAGAAAGAGUAGGAACGAGAGAAGGGAAGAAGGAAAUAGUGCAGUGGAAGGGGGCUGCGGUGGUGACCGCAGUUGCGAUUGUGGCAGCGGCAGCGGCGGCGGCUGUGGCAGCUGCGUUUGGGAAAGAAAAAGAAGGAAUGAGAGUAAGAGAGAGAGCAGGUGACUGUGCCUCGAUGUUCGACACGUGAUGUAGUUACGAAGAAAGGAAGAAAACGGGAGCACAAAACGAAACAGUGAGAGGACACGGAGGAAAAGUAGAAAGAUUGGACUGGCACCUUCCUUGGAUAUUCAGAUCAAAAUAUUUGAAAGGUCAGCUUGUCACUCUUCGAGAUGUUUGAUUUGGGCUGAGGCAGUGGAUAGCUAUUCAGGAUUAUGGGCAAGUCCUGUUGGUUGUUAUGCUAUUGUUGUAUAAGCAUAUUUUGUAUGUAAUGAAUUGUUCUGAUGAUCGAAAUGGAUAUACUGUGUAAAAGUGUUAGAAGAUCUCUCUUAUUUGGAAUUUCGGAAUGUUAAGUCUAAUUUAUGACGAUAUGAACUUGUGGUGAAUAGUUGGAGUUCUGAUUGUAUAAUUUAUUUAGCUUGUGGAUUUAUAAAUGUUGUUCAUGUUUGUCAA